GCCAGCAUGGUAUAGUGGUUUGAGUGUUGGACUGGGACUCUGGAGACCAGGGUUUGAUUCCCUGCUUGGCC